CACUUUGUUUUUCUCCGUUCUCAUACUCACAGAUUAACCGAUGGCUGUAAGACCUAGAGAAGCAUUAGGAACUGGUCUGUAGUGUCUUCCAGUGUAUGCGUACACACAAUUCACUUUCCUUUUCUUUUUGCCCUUUGUAUAGAUGAUGUGGUUGAGUUACGAAGCCUCUUAUUGCAGUGUUGUCUGCAAGGCCGAAGGGAAGUUAUUAAUGCAUUUGAGCUGCUCUAUCUGAUUGCUCAUCUCCUGAACCUGUUUUAGUUGAUAUAAAAGUGUUCUCUAUUUCAGAAAGCCAGAACACGAGAUUGUGCCCCCUCUUGCUCCAGGUGCAUGUUCCUACCCUCCUUUCCCCUCUAAUUUGACUUGCUUUACCUUGUGUGAAGUUUUAUACUUUCAACUUUACAAAGCUAUAUCAAGUUUGCUUUCAACUGUACUUGGCUACACCUGUAACAUGAUGCACUUCUCUUUCAGUUUAUUGAAUACAUUUUGAAGAAGUGAAUGAUGUAUCUGGUACUGUCGUUUGACUCAUUUAACAGUCCGUCAAUUUGCUCACAAACCUCCUCAUGUACAGCAUACAAUGAGUAUUCUGUCACAUAUCACACAACAUCUUGAUCUUUCAGCUAAUAAUAUGCUGUAAUUUUUUAGGCUAUCACUAUUUGCAGCUUUUGGGUUCCUUCUAUGUGUUGGGAGAUAAUUCUCUUAAUAAACUUUAGCUUUCUGCAAUGCUAGGCCGGACAAAUUCAGUACUGAAAAUCUAGCCUGUUCUUUCCACUCUGUAACAACUUCUAUGCUUGCGCCACCAUGAUAUCACUACAACAUUUCCCUGGAAAAUUUUAUUAGUUGCAUGUAAACUGAAUUGAUUUACCAGUAAAAACCUGGACAACUCAUUUCAGUCGCUAACAACAAUUGUGGCAUUACCAGGAUAUGUCAUGUAUGUGCUCUGAAUCGUAGUAGGAUGCAAAAAGUACAAUAAGAGAUAGAAUGUAUGCACUAUGGGCUAGCAGUAACAUUUUAUUGACUUGUGCAGUAUUUGUUACUAUCUAUUUCUGUAGGCUAUUCCUCAUGUUGCAACCUUUUCCCAUAGAAUUGAAAGGAAGAUGGAAGAAAUUGCAGGAGGUAUACUUUGUGUUCCAUUAGUCUUACUGUCAGAUUUCCAUGUUCAGUUAUUCACACUAUAUUAUUGCUCAAUAUCUAUAGCUUGCUAUUAUUUGAGCAGGAAUGGUGUUUCCAGCAUGACAUUCAAAACCAGUCAAGACUAUAAAGGGGCUGUGAAGGACGAAAUGCUAUGGAUCCAGAGUGGGAGGGGAGAGUUACCAACAAUGUAUCAAGGAUAAACCGUGACAUGGAUUCCUAAGUUCCAACUUACAUAGCAAAAUUAUAUAGGGAGAAUGCCUACAUUUUGAAAACUCUAUUACAUAGUUUGAAGGUAUGUUUCUUUCAAUUUUCAUUAUUAAAAGGAUCCUUAUUAUUGCUAAUUUGUCAAGCAUCUAUUGUCUAAUAACUCUUUGCUUCAAAUGAGACCUGUGGUGCAAGGGGUAAAUUU
rnacentral:lncRNA from 1 species